CAAUAGCGUAUAUUAAAGUUGUUGCAGUUAAAAAGCUCGUAGUUGGACCUUGGACCUGGACAGGCGGUCCGCCUCACGGCGUGUACUGUCUUGUUGGGUCUUUCCUCUUGGUGAUCUGUUGUUUCGGCGGCAGGGAACCAGGACUUUUACUUUGAAAAAAUUAGAGUGUUCAAAGCAGGCUCGACGCCGGAAUAUAUUAGCAUGGAAUAAUAAAAUAGGACGUGCGGUUCUAUUUUGUUGGUUUUUGGAAUCGCCGUAAUGAUUAAUAGGGACAGUCGGGGGCAUUAGUACUCACAUGCUAGAGGUGAAAUUCUUGGAUUUUGUGAAGACUAACUUCUGCGAAAGCAUUUGCCAAGGAUGUUUUCAUUAA
rnacentral:rRNA from 1 species